rnacentral:rRNA from 1 species
UUUUCUGGUCAUAUCACAUUGAAAACACCGGGUUCUCAUCCGAUCACCGAGUGAAGCAAUGUCGAGCCUAGUUACUGUUUAGACGGGUGACUGCUUUGAAAACCCAGCAUAACUGCAGUCU